UUUCGAUCCAUCUUUGAUCUCGUUCUCUCUCACACUCCGACUCCGAUUUCUUACAUCUCCUCCGGCGAAAAAACUGUCAUCAUCUUCAACAGUCGACGACGAAUUCCAUAGAUCAAGUACGACGUCGUCGCCGUUAAACAGCCGUCGCAGGAAGCUGCAAAGAAGAAGAAGAUGUCGUUGGUGUUGCUAGAAGCGGCUCUGCCUCUGCCUCUGGGAAUCAUUGGAGGGAUGCUCUGCAUUAUGGGAAUCUCUCAGUACUAACAUCCACAAAUCUUAUCAUGGUCGUGUAUGAUUUUCUUUCUUUUCGUCUCUCAAUUUAGGGGUUUCUCGAUUUGAUCCGAUUGGAUCUCAAAUUUGAGUUUAAUGAUUUCAAUAAUGGGAUGUUGCUAUGGAGAGACACGGCAAGAAAGUCGUCGAGAAAGCCUCAUCUCCUUCUUCAUGAUCCGAUCAGGGGCUUAAGGUGAUAAACUUAUGGUCACAAAUAAAGUUUAUUCCAGAAGAAGAAGAAGUAGCUGGAGAGUGUAAUACUGUUUUUCGGAUAAAGCUUUGAAAUUUUAAAAAAACUUUUUUCUUUCUGCUUUCAAAAUUCAGACUUUAAUGACAUUUGAUUUAUAACUUGUCUCUAUUUAUUUGCGAGACAUGUUACUAAGUUGCAUGACAUUUCGUAUAUAAUAAUACACUUGCUGUGUGAAUGAAUAAUAAUGUGGUAUCUUUAUAAAA